UCUCUCUUUUCCUCUCUCUUUCUGCAGUGCCAUACUGAGAAGCAGCACUUACUUUCUCCGACACAGAGAAAUCUUUGUGCCUGACAGAUAGAACAGGAGAUAAAAAGGUUACAAAGCAUCUGGCUUUCCAAUUCAUACGUGGGGUGAUGAUUUAAAUUACAAAGUUUGAAGAAUUUGGCACUUAGCAAACUUGAACCUUACCCAAGUGCUGGUUUUUUUUUUUUUUUCCCUCAAUAAUAUUACAAAACAUGAAAAAAGAGCUAUUUUCCCUUAACACAGCACAUAAACAACAUCUGCACUUUUGAAUGAGUUCAAAACACCUUCGGAAUGAAAACUUUUCCCCUUUGAACAGGGAAGAAACCCUUCCAGCAUGCUGCAGCAGAGGGAAAUUCUAACAGAGAUUGAGUCGUCUGGUUCCAUUGUAAGAUUGCUGGCAGAGACCCUGCGGCAGGAUUGACGCUGCAUUAAUUACCAGGCCCAUGGGCCCUCCGACCUUGCUCCACCGUGAGACAUACUGGCAAAGGAUCUGAGGAAUGCUGGCACUAUCUCAAUGGUGAGGACCUGAAGGCAAGUUGUCACCUGAACAGCAGUACCUAUGGACUGCUGUAAAACAGAGCCCAGCAGCUGCCAGCACUGAGAAUGCUUCAUAUCCACCAGGAGGAAAGAAACCAACAGCAACGCCAAUCUUUAUGAACUGAUCCACAAGGUGUAGUCUCCUUCAGAAACAAACUACUCCAGCACUGGUUAGAAGUCCUGCCAGAAAACCUGCUCCAGUAUGGGUUCUUCUCUCCAUGGGUUCACAGGUCCCACCAGAAGCCUGCUCCAACAUGGAAUUUCCAGUCUAUUCCACCAUUAGUCACCCUGGGAUGAAGGGGCACAACUUUCCUUAGCAUAGUCUUCACGACAGGUUACAGAAGAAUAUCUGGGACACCUCCUCGCCUUCCUUAUUCACUGACCUUGAUGUCUGCAGAGUUACUUCUCUCAUAUUCUCAAUCCUUUCUCCAUCUGGAAUUGCUUUUGUGCCAUAUUUUUUUCCUCUUCUCAAACACAUUAUCACAGAGGUGCUACCACUGUCACUGAUGGGCUUAGACAUGUUGGCUCUGUCAGACAUAGGGGAAGCUUCUAGCAGCUUCUCACAGAAGCCACCCCUGUAGCUCUGCUGCUACCAAAACCUUGACAUGCAAACCCAAUGCAGGGUUUGAAAACCCCAUACAGAAUGUGAAAAUAUCUUUUAAAGCAAUGAAAUAAUUUGUGGUAGUCAAAUGGCUUCAAUUUUUUAGCUGCACACCAAGUGCAUUAUCCACUUUUGCUUUAAAAAAAUCUGAGUUUCAGGGUUGUUGGGUUUUCUUUCUGUAGUGGAAACUAAAAUGCAGCUGGUGUUUUUAAUCUGAAAUUUAUUGCCACUAUGAAAUUCUGCCUACCACCUACUAGGUGGAGAAGUUAGCAAAUUUAAAAGAUAAUGACAUAGAUGUUAUUAUAAGGAAUAAAUAAAUCAAAGCUGUGCACAA